rnacentral:sRNA from 12 species
AUAGUAGACGAAAUUGGGAACGGGCCCCAAUAAUAGUUAUUAGAUUUUUAAUAUAAUAACGUUAAUGGUUCGUCGUGUACGAUCCUCUGCGAGUUGUUUAUCUUCACAGCAGAUUACGUAAGUAAGAGUUUGGAGCAUUUAUAAAAUGGGACAACAUUUUGUUAGUAUU